rnacentral:rRNA from 1 species
UACGUAGGGGGCAAGCGUUGUCCGGAUUUAUUGGGCGUAAAGAGCGUGUAGGCGGCUUUACAGGUCCGUUGUGAAAACUCGAGGCUCAACCUCGAGACGCCGGUGGAAACCGUAAAGCUAGAGUCCGGAAGAGGAGAGUGGAAUUCCUGGUGUAGCGGUGGAAAUGCGCAGAUAUCAGGAAGAACACCCAUGGCGAAGGCGGACUC